CUCAGAUCACGUAAAUUAUUAAUAGUCGAACAGACUAUUCAUUUUAGCUCCUACACCUAAAAUACAAUUUAAUUCAACAUCGAGGUCGCAAACCUAAUUAUUAAUAAGAACUUGCUAAUUAAAUAACGCUGUUAUCCCUAGAGUAACUAUUAAACCCUAAUUAUAAAAAUUAAAAAUUUAUAUCUUUAAAAAUUGCCCCAAUCAAAAAUUUUCAUAAAAUUUUAAGCUUCUAGGGUCUUCUCGUCCCAAAGAUUUAUAAAAGAAUUUUUACUUUUAAUCUAAAUUCAAAAUUAUUUAAUAAAACUUUCCAUUCAGUAUCUACCCUUCAUUCCAGUCCUCAAUUAAAGAA
rnacentral:rRNA from 1 species